CCAAAAGACAGCUCACGCUCAUAACACUUCAAAACGAACGAAGCUUGGACUGCUUGGUCGUUCUGUUCGAGGGUCAUCUAAUUAUAUCUCGUGCUAAUCAAGUCUGAAAUAUCGUAUUCCAGUCGUGUGGCUUCUUGGUUAGAGAUAGUCAUAUCUCAUUUCUACCACAAGGAAAUUGAACGGGAAAUUGAUGUAAAUAGCUGAAAACUAUAAUUGUUUCAAAGAACGGAGAUUUCAUUUUCAGGUGUAAUAUCUUUAUGGUAUUGGUAUAAAACUGGACCAGUAUAGAUU